UAGCCAUGUUGUGGACAUGAAUUUAUGAGAUCCUUAAAUCACUCCCAACAUUGAAAGAAGGUCUCAUCCUCUUUUUGCGCAAAAUUUAUGAUUGUAUUCCUCAAGUUU